UACGUAGGGCGCAAGCGUUAUCCGGAAUUAUUGGGCGUAAAGAGCUCGUAGGCGGUUUGUCGCGUCUGCCGUGAAAGUCCGGGGCUCAACUCCGGAUCUGCGGUGGGUACGGGCAGACUAGAGUGAUGUAGGGGAGACUGGAAUUCCUGGUGUAGCGGUGAAAUGCGCAGAUAUCAGGAGGAACACCGAUGGCGGAAGGCAGGUCUCUGGGCAUUAACUGACGCUGAGGAGCGAAAGCAUGGGGGAGCGAACAGG
rnacentral:rRNA from 1 species